AGAUACCCCACUAUGCUUAGCCCUAAACAUAAAUUCCUCACCCACACACAAAUUCGCCUGGGAACUACAGACAUUAGUUUAAAACCCAAAGGACUUGGCGGUGCUUAACAUCCACCUAGAGGAGCCUGUUCUAGAACCGAUACUCCCCGAUAAACCUCACCCCUCCUUGUUAUAAUUCCGCCUGUAUACCGCCGUCGUCAGCUUACCCUGUAAAGGACUUGAAGUAAGCAAAAUUGGCAACACCCAAAACGUCAGGUCAAGGUGCAGCGUAUGGAGAGGAAAGAAAUGGGCUACAUUUACUAAUCAAUAGUAAACACGGAUGAUAACUUGAAACAAUUAUCUAAAGGAGGAUUUAGAAGUAAGUAAAAACAG
rnacentral:rRNA from 1 species